rnacentral:rRNA from 1 species
AACGAACGCUGGCGGCAUGCCUAACACAUGCAAGUCGAACGAGACCUUCGGGUCUAGUGGCGCACGGGUGCGUAACGCGUGGGAAUCUGCCCUUAGGUUCGGAAUAACUCAGGGAAACUUGAGCUAAUACCGGAUGAUGACUUCGGUCCAAAGAAUUAUCGCCUAAGGAUGAGCCCGCGUAGGAUUAGCUAGUUGGUGAGGUAAAGGCUCACCAAGGCGACGAUCCUUAGCUGGUCUGCGAGGAUGAUCAGCCACACUGGGACUGAGACACGGCCCAGACUCCUACGGGAGGCAGCAGUGGGGAAUAUUGGACAAUGGGCGAAAGCCUGAUCCAGCAAUGCCGCGUGAGUGAUGAAGGCCUUAGGGUUGUAAAGCUCUUUUGCCCGGGAUGAUAAUGACAGUACCGGGAGAAUAAGCCCCGGCUAACUCCGUGCCAGCAGCCGCCGUAACAC